GAUGAACGCUGGCGGCGUGCCUAAUACAUGCAAGUCGAGCGAACAGACGAGGAGCUUGCUCCUUUGACGUUAGCGGCGGACGGGUGAGUAACACGUGGGUAACCUACCUAUAAGACUGGGAUAACUUCGGGAAACCGGAGCUAAUACCGGAUAAUAUUUCGAACCGCAUGGUUCGAUAGUGAAAGAUGGCUUUGCUAUCACUUAUAGAUGGACCUGCGCCGUAUUAGCUAGUUGGUAAGGUAACGGCUUACCAAGGCAACGAUACGUAGCCGACCUGAGAGGGUGAUCGGCCACACUGGAACUGAGACACGGUCCAGACUCCUACGGGAGGCAGCAGUAGGGAAUCUUCCGCAAUGGGCGAAAGCCUGACGGAGCAACGCCGCGUGAGUGAUGAAGGUCCUCGGAUCGUAAAACUCUGUUAUUAGGGAAGAACAAACGUGUAAGUAACUGUGCACGUCUUGACGGUACCUAAUCAGAAAGCCACGGCUAACUACGUG
rnacentral:rRNA from 1 species